rnacentral:lncRNA from 1 species
GGCUCCUAAGUAGAAGUGAGAUAUGGGACUUCCAAGUUGUACCCUGAAAAGAAAGGAGCAUGCUGUCUCAUUUUAUGUUCCUUCUUCCUGCAGCUGGAAUGGAAACAUGAUGGUGGGAACUGGAGCAGCUCUCUUGGACCACGAAACAGAAACUAGGUCAUGAGCACCUGUCAGGAUCCCCACGGGGCAUGGAGUCUGCUUAAGAUUCUCUUCCUCUCCCUCUCCUGCUGCACAACCUCCCCCUCCACCCUGCCCAAAACAAGCAAACAACCUACGGAAUACAAGAAAG